ACUCCUACGGGAGGCAGCAGUGGGGAAUAUUGCACAAUGGGCGCAAGCCUGAUGCAGCCAUGCCGCGUGUAUGAAGAAGGCCUUCGGGUUGUAAAGUACUUUCAGCGGGGAGGAAGGCGAUAAGGUUAAUAACCUUGUCGAUUGACGUUACCCGCAGAAGAAGCACCGGCUAACUCCGUGCCAGCAGCCGCGGUAAUACGGAGGGUGCAAGCGUUAAUCGGAAUUACUGGGCGUAAAGCGCACGCAGGCGGUCUGUCAAGUCGGAUGUGAAAUCCCCAGGCUCAACCUGGGAACUGCAUUCGAAACUGGCAGGCUAGAGUCUUGUAGAGGGGGGUAGAAUUCCAGGUGUAGCGGUGAAAUGCGUAGAGAUCUGGAGGAAUACCGGUGGCGAAGGCGGCCCCCUGGACAAAGACUGACGCUCAGGUGCGAAAGCGUGGGGAGCAAACAGGAUUAGAUACCCGUGUAGUCCCAUGA
rnacentral:rRNA from 1 species